rnacentral:rRNA from 1 species
AUUGAACGCUGUCGGCAGGCUUAACACAUGCAAGUCGAACGAUGACUCUCUAGCUUGCUAGAGAAGACUAGUGGCGGACGGGUGAGUAACAUUUAGGAAUCUGCCUAGUAGUGGGGGAUAGCUCGGGGAAACUCGAAUUAAUACCGCAUACGACCUACGGGUGAAAGGGGGCGCAAGCUCUUGCUAUUAGAUGAGCCUAAAUCAGAUUAGCUAGUUGGUGGGGUAAAGGCCUACCAAGGCGACGAUCUGUAACUGGUCUGAGAGGAUGAUCAGUCACACCGGAACUGAGACACGGUCCGGACUCCUACGGGAGGCAGCAGUGGGGAAUAUUGGACAAUGGGGGCAACCCUGAUCCAGCCAUGCCGCGUGUGUGAGGAAGGCCUUUUGGUUGUAAAGCACUUUAAGCAGGGAGGAGAGGCUAAUGGUUAAUACCCAUUAGAUUAGACGUUACCUGCAGAAUAAGCACCGGCUAACUCUGUGCCAGCAGCCGCGGUAAUACAGAGGGUGCGAGCGUUAAUCGGAAUUACUGGGCGUAAAGCGAGUGUAGGUGGCUCAUUAAGUCACAUGUGAAAUCCCCGGGCUUAACCUGGGAACUGCAUGUGAUACUGGUGGUGCUAGAAUAUGUGAGAGGGAAGUAGAAUUCCAGGUGUAGCGGUGAAAUGCGUAGAGAUCUGGAGGAAUACCGAUGGCGAAGGCAGCUUCCUGGCAUAAUAUUGACACUGAGAUUCGAAAGCGUGGGUAGCAAACAGGAUUAGAUACCCUGGUAGUCCACGCCGUAAACGAUGUCUACUAGCCGUUGGGGUCCUUGAGACUUUAGUGGCGCAGUUAACGCGAUAAGUAGACCGCCUGGGGAGUACGGCCGCAAGGUUAAAACUCAAAUGAAUUGACGGGGGCCCGCACAAGCGGUGGAGCAUGUGGUUUAAUUCGAUGCAACGCGAAGAACCUUACCUGGUCUUGACAUAGUGAGAAUCCUGCAGAGACGCGGGAGUGCCUUCGGGAACUCACAUACAGGUGCUGCAUGGCUGUCGUCAGCUCGUGUCGUGAGAUGUUGGGUUAAGUCCCGCAACGAGCGCAACCCUUUUCCUUAUUUGCCAGCGGUUAAGCCGGGAACUUUAAGGAUACUGCCAGUGACAAACUGGAGGAAGGCGGGGACGACGUCAAGUCAUCAUGGCCCUUACGACCAGGGCUACACACGUGCUACAAUGGUAGGUACAGAGGGUUGCUACACAGCGAUGUGAUGCUAAUCUCAAAAAGCCUAUCGUAGUCCGGAUUGGAGUCUGCAACUCGACUCCAUGAAGUCGGAAUCGCUAGUAAUCGCAGAUCAGAAUGCUGCGGUGAAUACGUUCCCGGGCCU